UAUGAGACUCCAGAAAGAACUUGCCAUAGCCAGUUACCACUGGGUCGAAGCUGUAGGAAUUGCAGUGAUGAGGUUAUGAAGCCACACCGUGGAUCAGUGGGAAAGUACACUACAUAAAACUAUGGUUCAUGGAAGAUGAGGAAUCAGGCUUCAUUCAUAACUGCAGAGACGCCUUCAACAGCCAGCGCAUGUCUUACACUUACUCAGCGUCAACUGUCAGAGAAGACCUAAGAAAAGGAGGAGACAGUGGACAGUCCCUUUUGUGACAAGUCUGGGCCAAGGUGUUUCCUGAGAGCACUUAUUACGCUAACUGCACCUCCUGCAGAACAGAGACCGUGACCAGGUGGCACCAUCACCACCACCACCAGUGAACAACUCUGCUCUACCACUUGAUCCUGUCAUGAUGUGCUGCCCUAGGCCCAAAGCAGUAGGAACAACUGGGCAUGGACUGAAACCUCCCAGACUGACCCAUGAACACAGGAAUUAC